AGUGAACGCUGGCGGCAGGCCUAAUACAUGCAAGUCGAACGGCAGCACAGUGGAGCUUGCUCCAUGGUGGCGAGUGGCGGACGGGUGAGGAAUACAUGGGAAUCUGCCCAGUCGUGGGGAUAACGUAUGGAAACGUACGCUAAUACCGCAUGCGCCCUUCGGGGGAAAGUCGGGGGAACCCGCAAAGGCCUGACGCGAUUGGAUGAGCCCAUGUUCGAUUAGCUAGUUGGCGGGUAACGGCCACCAAGGCGACGAUCGAUAGCUGGUCUGAGAGGAUGAUCAGCCACACUGGAACUGAGACACGGUCCAGACUCCUACGGGAGGCAGCAGUAGGGAUAUUGGACAAUGGGCGCAAGCCUGAUCCAGCCA
rnacentral:rRNA from 1 species